ACAUAAUAAAAAGUGAUUAUAUAGAAAUUGAAACAAAUUAGAACUAAAAAGUCUAAAAUAUUAACCAAAUUAAUAAUAAAACUAAAGUUUUACAAUACCAAAAUAAUAUUAAAAACGAUAACAGACAACAUAAAUUAUGCUGUAACCAAAGCAAGUAGCACAAAAAUAAAAUAGUUGCAAAAGAACAAUAAAACACCACCAAAUUAGCAACACCAAAACAGCAACAAAGCAAGUUCAGGGGAGAGAAGGGCAAGGCUCAAGUCCUUCGGUUGACUGCCAAUAUCAACGGAAUCUCUACCCUCACACUGAUCCCCAUGAAGAGAAAUUCUUCAUACCUGGAACAGGGGUACAAUUAAAAGGAAAAUAUAAGAAACAAUAGAACCUACACGUCCAAGAGAAAGAGAUUCCAUGUUCAUAGAUACAAGGAAAAGAAAAGAAAGAGAAAAGACUGAUAGCAUCAUAAAAUUACUACUAAAACUCUAUAUUUAAGAUGAAAUACCAAUUCAACACUUCAACUGAAAGUAGAAUGUGUGAAUACCAAAUCUUUCAUGUACUCAAAUAAAUCAUUUUACAAGAAUUUUUAAAAAAAUUGUACCUUUAAAAGCUAUACUUUUUGCACCUCAUAGGUUCUAUUAUGAUUUUUCUUUUGGCCUAACUUAACAUAUUCUACCCAAAGAAAUACCACUUAAAAAGUUUCAUGUUAGUUUUAAUUAAACCAUGACAUUUGCAUCAUAAAUGGAUUAGCUUAUAUUCAUAUCAAACAUGUACCUAUACCUAAGUAUAAAAACAGCACCAAAACAGCAACAAAACAACACCAAAACAGCACCAAACAGCAUAAAAAUAGCACAAACAACAGCACCAAUACAGCAACAAAACAGCACCAAACAGCAUAAAAAUAGCACAAAAAACAGCACUAAACAGCAUCACCAGAAACACCAAAAUAGCACAAAAAACAGCACCAAACAGCUAUUCUUAGACAAAUGCCUAACUCCCAUGCCCCAGUUGAACUGAUAGUCCAAGAAAAUAAGCAAUUCUACUAAUAAACAAUAUCAAUAAUUAUGAUAAUUAUUUGUUUGAUUGUUGAAAAAUGUUAUGGUUUAAAUAAAUCUUUAGAAUUUUGCUUCAACUAGAAACAAUAACAUAAAAAAUGUGGAUAAGGAUAAAGCAUUGUGUUUUGACAUUCUUCCAGUUUCCCAGUAACCAAACAGAACAGAGGCAAUACCUUAAAGCAGGAAAUGCAUCAAUACCUUAAAGCAGCAAUACUUUCACUAUAGAAAAAACAAACCCCAUUUCCCUUCUUCUUCAACCCCCCAAAAUUUUCUCUUCUUUCACUUAACUUUAAAACCAAAAGAUAUACAACAAAUCCAAAGCAGCAAAGCAAAACUCAAUGUUUCUAUGCUCUAAGUUGAACUAUGCUAAUUUCCCUUGAGAAACAAGGGAGUAAAAAUGGUUAUGGUGAUAAUACGGAGGACAUUAUUAAUUUUAUUGAAAGAAAAGCAAACGUGGGAAAAAGGAACAUGAGUUGUUUAUGUCGGAAUUUUUCGUUGUUUUAAUGCAAAAGAUAAGAAAAAAAAAUUACAAAGUUGAUUGUAAAAGAAUAGUAUGACCAAGAAAUAAUGAUAGAAGGGGGGUGCUUUUUCGCCAAACCAAAUUAAUUUGUCUUCAUUUUCAUUUUUGUCAGGUGGUGCGGGUGAGAAAAUAUAAGAACUAUAAUGAAAGAGAGCACCAAAAUAAUUACAGUAAGAAGAAGAUGCACUGUCAAAAACCUGCAAGAAACAUAAAAAAACAUCAUAGUCGUGAACGCUACAAGACACAACAUAAAAAAAUAAAUCAUCAAAACAUAUAUUAAAGAAACAUCCACCCCUUAUCUCCCGGAUCAACAGAAGACACCAAAGCCAAAUAAUAAAUCAGAAAAGCAUUAGUCAGACAAAAUAUUGACACAAUAAACAAUAGCCUAUCUAAACCUCUUGAAACUCAAGAAAAAUUUUCUUGC
rnacentral:lncRNA from 1 species